CCUACGGGGGGCUGCAGUCGAGAAUCAUUCGCAAUGGGCGAAAGCCUGACGAUGCGACGCCGUGUGUAUGAUGAAGGCCUUCGGGUUGUAAAGUACUUUCGCCUGUGAACAAGAGACGCUAGCUAAUAUCUAGCAAAUUUGAGGGUAGCAGGUAAAGAAGCACCGGCUAACUCCGUGCCAGCAGCUGCGGUAAUACGGAGGGUGCAAGCAUUAAUCGGAUUUAUUGGGCGUAAAGGGCGCGUAGGCGGAAAGAAAAGUCAGAUGUGAAAUACCGG
rnacentral:rRNA from 1 species